GAGUUUGAUCAUGGCUCAGGAUAAACGCUGGCGGCGUGCCUAAUGCAUGCAAGUCGCACGGGAGCUUCGGCUCCAGUGGCGGACGGGUGAGUAACACGUAGGAACCUGCCCGAGAGUGGGGGACAACUCCGCGAAAGCGGGGCUAAUACCGCAUACGGUUUACGGACCAAAGCUUCGGCGCUCUCGGAGGGGCCUGCGGCGGAUUAGCUAGUUGGUGGGGUAACGGCCUACCAAGGCGACGAUCCGUAACUGGUCUGAGAGGAUGACCAGUCACACUGGGACUGAGACACGGCCCAGACUCCUACGGGAGGCAGCAGCAAGGAAUUUUCCGCAAUGGGCGAAAAGCCUGACGGAGC
rnacentral:rRNA from 1 species